rnacentral:rRNA from 1 species
GACGAACGCUGGCGGCGUGCUUAACACAUGCAAGUCGAGCGGUAAGGCCCUUUCGGGGGUACACGAGCGGCGAACGGGUGAGUAACACGUGGGUGACCUGCCCUCAGCUCUGGGAUAAGCCUGGGAAACUGGGUCUAAUACUGGAUAUGACUCCACGGUGCAUGUCGUGGGGUGGAAAGCCUUGUGCGGCUGAGGAUGGGCCCGCGGCCUAUCAGCUUGUCGGUGGGGUGANGGCCUACCAAGGCGACGACGGGUAGCCGGCCUGAGAGGGCGACCGGCCACACUGGGACUGAGACACGGCCCAGACUCCUACGGGAGGCAGCAGUGGGGAAUCUUGCGCAAUGGGCGAAAGCCUGACGCAGCGACGCCGCGUGAGGGAUGACGGCCUCGGUUGUAA